AUGCUUUUCCAGGAGUUUGUUGAGAAAUGCCUUUAUUCGUUGGAAAAUGGCGUAUCAUUUACAAGUAUUCCAGGCUACACGCUAGGUAGCUUCUUAGUAACGACUGUUUGCCUCUCCCAUCAACGUCAUUGUCUCUUGCAUAAGAGACCAAGGUGGCUUAUGAGUAACACGUUUCUCCUUGCCGUCGGCAGUAGCGAAGAGUAUAGGGGAACCGGCCGCGAUCGCCCAAGGAGCAGAGCCGCACGGGUGCUGGUCCUGCCGUCGCCAGAGCAGAGCGGAGGAAGCCGAUGCAGGGUCGAGGAGGGGCACGAGUGA
rnacentral:rRNA from 1 species